rnacentral:rRNA from 1 species
CCCGCUGAACUUAAGCAUAUCAAUAAGCGGAGGAAAAGAAACCAACAGGGAUUGCCUCAGUAACGGCGAGUGAAGUGGCAACAGCUCAAAUUUGAAAUCUGGUCCCUUUCGGGGCUCGAGUUGUAAUUUGUAGAGGAUGUCUUCGGGUUUGGCCCUGGCCUAAGUUCCUUGGAACAGGACGUCACAGAGGGUGAGAAUCCCGUAUGUGGCUGGUGGUCUAUACCCAUGUGAAGCUCCUUCGACGAGUCGAGUUGUUUGGGAAUGCAGCUCAAAAUGGGUGGUAAGUUUCAUCUAAAGCUAAAUACUGGCGGGAGACCGAUAGCGCACAAGUAGAGUGAUCGAAAGAUGAAAAGCACUUUGGAAAGAGAGUUAAAAAGUACGUGAAAUUGUUGAAAGGGAAGCGCUUGCGACCAGACUUGCCCUCGGUUGAUCAACCUGGUGUUCCUCACCGGUGCACUCUGCUGAGGUCAGGCCAGCAUCGGUUUCGGUGGGGCAGACAAAGGCGGAGGGAAGGUGGCCGCUCCGGCGGUGUUAUAGCCCUCCGUUGUACGUGUCCCCUGGGACUGAGGAAUCCGGCGUAAGCCUGGGAUGCUGGCGUAAUGGCUUUAAGCGACCCGUCUUGAAACACGG